GCGCCUGUAGUAUAAUGGUCAUUAUACCUGCCUUCCAAAUUCCCCACCUCCCGUACUUGGGGAGCAGAUUUGAUAGCAGGUGACAGGGGUUCGAUUCCCCUCGGGCGCA
rnacentral:tRNA from 1 species